GGCUUUUCUGUCUGACACACUGCAGCUGGAGCACCAUGUGGAGAUGCAGUAAUUUGAUCUGUAAUUUGGUCCAGUACCUUCGUUUUUAGCAUUAUAAAAUGAGCUCAGGAUUCUAAGUGGUCUGAGUUGAACCCCCUCCUCUGGUCUCCCUCUCUCCCCUCCAGGAGUUGUCGGCGUCCCAGCAGGAGCAGCUCCAGCAGAGGGCAGCAUACCUCCGUCAGCAGCGAGACAAGCUCCACGCUCUGAGGAAAGAGCAGCAGAAAACCAAGCAGCCAACCAAACCAGAGGAGGCACCGACCAGCCCCACACCAGCACCCUCCACCACCCCGGAGAUAUCUGCUGAGGAGCGGAAGAAGCUCCAGAAGAGAAAACACCUGGCUGACAAGCUGAAAGAGGAAGUCAUCAAGAAAUAACUUCCCCUCCGAAUGCAAUAUUCUCGUCUGUAUCCAUCCUAUCUCCGUCACUCUGGUAAACAAACACGAGGCUUCCUUUUACACUGCCCCAUAAUUCACUUUGCAGAGCACAGGUCGGGGGUUUUGUUUUUCCAAAGAGUCACGAAAAUUACGAGAUCUUCCUUCUUUAGAGUUCUUUUCGUUGCUGUUUAAAGAGCAAAAAGGUGCAUCUUCUUGUUUGUUUUUUUUUUAACUAUGCCAGUAUAUGACAGUCUCUACUCGUAACACGCCACUCACGUAUUUAAGGAUCUGUUAGGUAGCGGCAUUGGACUGAGAAAGUUAAGAAAACGUCACGCGCAGCUGAAAAGCACACGGGCCAGUCAGGCAAUAUGCUGCCAAUAGCUGUCAGUUAUUGUUACGAGACGAACCUGGGCUGUGUCCAAAAUCACGUCUUAUUUAAGUGCAACGCAUUUACUUACAAUUAAAAUUUUGUAGACUCCAAACUGUACAAUUUACAGGCAGUUCAGUGCCCUCAACAGACAAAUAAAUGCUAAUGUGUUUUUUGUUUUUUUUUUUCAAGCAAAAAUACCUCCUAAAGUACACAAGAUGUAUUUAAAUCUUGCACUGUUGUUCAAAUCAAAUAAGCCAUACGACCAGCACUUUUUAGUUCUCUUGCAUUUUAUAGCCAAUAGAUUGAGAAAAUAAUGUGCAGAUUUAUUGAUCAUGGAGGUUUGUUGCCCUGGAAAUGUCACAGCGAUGCUUCACCUCGACUAAAUGUGAAAACUAUUAUUAUGCAACACUACAGCUUAAGUCAACUAUUACAUUACACAGGGAGGAGGAAGAGGAGGAGUGUGAUUUUGGACACGGUUACAGCUUCGUUUCUACGUAGAGAACGCUCAGAGAUGUUCUAAAUGCGCUGUGUGAUGAGCCAGACUCUGAGUUAAGCAGUAAUGGUGACAUAAGACUUAAUUGGGAGAGACUAUUAGCAGGACAGUCUUAUUUUCCACCAUUGUUAGCGUUUCCAAAGGGAAGCGAGUACAUCGUUCACACUAUAGCAGCUCAAGCUAGUUACAAAAAAAUGGUGUGGAAGUUGUCAAGAUGAACGUCACGUGUUCAUAAAGGGGCCAAGAGAAGAGAGUGCAGUAUUUAUCUUCAACCCAAUCUGGAGUCUUCACUUUAAGCAGUCAGGAUGCACCAGUUUCUAUGUAAUAUUGUUCUCAUGUAUGCUGUUUAAUAAACCACAUUUUAUAGGAAACGA